rnacentral:lncRNA from 10 species
GUCUUGCGAUGUUGGCCAGACUGUUCUUGAACUCCUGGCUUCGAGCAAUCCUCUUGCAUCAGGUUCCGAAAGUGUUGGAAUUACAGAGCCACUGCACCCAGCCUAAUUGGUUAAGGUGACAUGGGAAGCGAUCAUUGUGAGUCAUCCAGGGAACACAGGGAGAGUUAAGCUGAUGGUGACGCACACCUGCCAACUGCUGAGAAGAAGAUAAUCAGCCCUCAGGAAUUUUCGACCCAGCCGCACUGCACAGCCUGGUUGCUGGACUCCUAGGACCAAGCCUCCUGGGCCUGGCAGGCAGCUGUAAUUCAGAGUGGGUCGGGGCUCCAGGAUGUGUUGUUUCCUGUGCAUUGCACUUCGCAGAGGCACAGAGCAGAAGCUAAGCCUGAUGGCCUCUGAACACUGGUUGGGUUUUUUGUUUUUUUUUUUUCCUGGCAACAAA